AUGAAAGUCCAGAGCAACGGGUGCCCUGGAGAGAAGGGAGGAGUGAAGUUAGGGGACUGGCUGUGCACUGGGGAUGCCUUCCCUCAGGAGGGAAGCCGGCUGGGGUUCUCUCCCAAUUCUGACUGCAUGUCGUCUUCAAACUCUCCUCAAGGGCAGAAAACAGGGCGACGCCAGUGGCUCAUGAGUGAGUGUGGGACGAUCCGAGCUGGCCCACAGGCUCCAGAGGGGCUGGGCCUCUCUGCUUUGUUCUUCCCUGGGGAUCCAGACACAGCCAAUGGGUGUCAGGGAGUGUGGAAGACUGGAGUGUCCCCUUCCCCUGCCUGGAUCCUGGUUGGCAUCGUAGCCAACCAGGAUGACGCAUAUGGGGCCAGAAUGGAACUGUGGUCAUCCCAUCACCCACUCUCCACCAAGCUGAUCAAGAGGAGAGACUGGACACCAAGGGCAGCAACAUUGAGUGAUGACAUCACAGGAAAACCCACCAAUCAGAGCCAAGGGGACCAGAGCCCAGCCCCUCACCCAGAGCAUCCCAGGUACAUGAUACCCAUCUGUGCCUGACUGUGCCAUGGGCUGCAGGCUGCUCUGCUGUGUGGUCCUGUGUGUCCUGGGAGCAGUCCCCAUGGACACCGGAGUUACCCAGACACCAAGACACCUGGUCAUGGGAAUGACAGAUAAGAAGUCUUUGAAAUGUGAACAAAAUCUGGGACAUAAUGCUAUGUACUGGUACAAACAGGGUGAUAAGAAGCCACCAGAGCUCAUGUUUAUCUUCAACUAUAAAGCACUCAGUGAAAAUAUGACUGUGCCAAGUCGCUUCUUACCAGAGUGCCCUGAUAGCUCUCACUUGUACCUUCACCUGGACACCCUGCAGCCAGAAGACUCAGCCACGUAUCUGUGCGCCAGCAGCCAAGACACAGCCCUGCAGAGUCGGCUCCUCCCUGUACACAAACCUUUGGGCCUAUACAGGAAGCGGUGGGGCAACUGAGAGCUUGGUGAACAUUUCCUGUAUGAAUCCUGCCAGAAG